rnacentral:rRNA from 1 species
AUUGAACGCUGGCGGCAGGCCUAACACAUGCAAGUCGGGCGAGCGGCGGACGGGUGAGUAAUGUAUGGGGAUCUGCCUGAUGGCGGGGGCUAACUACUGGAAACGGUAGCUAAUACCGCAUACCACCAGAUGCAUCCAUAUGGGAUUAGCUUGUAAGUGGGGUAACGGCUUACCUAGGUGACAAUCCCUUGCUGGUCUGAGAGGAUGAUAAGCCACACUGUGACUGAGAGACGGCCCAGACUCCUACGGGUGGCCGCAGUGGGGAAUAUUGCGAAAGGGGGGCAACUCUGACUCAGCGAUUGCGAGUGAAUGAAGAAGGCCUUCGGGUUGUAAGAAGCUUUCGGUAGCUAAGCGUUACCGACAGAAGAAGCACCGGCUAACUACGUGCCAGCAGCCGCUGUAAUUC